GGCUGCAGAGAUUCAAGGCUUUCUGAACUGGAGCAUAGGCAUAACAAGUUUCAAAAGUUGCCAGAGCAUUCCCAGCCUAAUGAGUCGCAUUAAUUCCAUUAGUGUUGCUCUUUUAGUGCACCUGGCUUUAAUUAGGCCCUUGAUUGGUAUGCCUGAACUCGUUAGCUUCCACUGAUUGACAAACAGCAAGAGGAAACAAAGCUGCACUGAAAGUGGUUUUGGGACAGAAGGGGAAAUGGCAGAACAAGUGUGGUCUCCUCAGGGAUUUGGAGUCAGGACAAGAAGACCUUUCCAAUAUUUAAAAGAUUUGCUUUAAAAAGACUUACUGGAAGAGGAGGGCCAGCUAUCCAAAACUGCCUCUCCUUCUAGCAGGAAAGCUGUGCACUUUCAGGAGAUGAAAGGGAAAUUUGGGGCAAGAGAGCACACAACCUGUUCUGUUCUGCCUGGGAUUUGCCCCUCACGGUUCUGCAGAGCCUCCUAAACCUUUAAUCUCACAGGAUAAUGGAGGAAACUUUCCUUUUGCAUAGGAUGUGGUGGCUGCUUCCUGAUAGACUGUGCCACCUAAAUAAAGACAAAGAUCAUCACUGGGGUAUUUUGGGCCAUUGAGAAAGCAGGAGAAGGAAAGGAGAACGCUGGAGAAAUACUUCAGAGCAGAGUCUUGUCAUUCUACAUUUAGCAUACUCACUGGAGAAAAGCACUUCAGGAAAGGGAAUCAGAUCACCAUAAGCUCUUUAGGGAAACUUCACUUAAGUCACCUACCCCCACUUUCUCAGCUAAUGAAAGACAAGUGCACUGAAAGUGGGGUUCACAAGUUCCUUAAAUAUGAAAGGCAAGCACCACCUGGAUGUGCCUGGAAAGUCUGGUGUCCACUCGCAGACAGCAGAGAAUGAGCAAAGGCAAACACAGCUAAGGAUCCAAACAAUGGAGAGCUGUAUGUGGCUUUCACUAGCUCUGUGACAUGAGUGAGAAAAGGCUCUCUUGUGUCCUCACAAACCCAUCUAUCCCCAGCAAUGGAAAGCUGUGGUCAUCCUACAGGCAAUGACAGUACCAAAAAGUCCAAACUUACAGGGAGCAGCAUUCCAUUGCAGCUUGACUGCAGUCACAUUUGUAGCAACCUUCUGUCCUCUCAAUGUGUCCAAAGGGAUACAGUUUUCUUUUCCACGUACACCCUGCAAAAGACAGCAGCAAAUGAGAACAGACCUUCCCUGGAGCUUGAAGUACAGUAAAGCAGGAUGCAUCCCCCAGGGUCACCAUGCUGGCCAGUGCAACAAGGAAAGCCAGAAAGCUCUUCUGCAGAGAGAAAGAAGCAAAUGGAGUCAGUUGUACAGAAACACAGAGCUAUGCAGGCUGAUAUCCAGCCUGCAGCACAGAGAACUUUAAAAGGUGAUGUAUGUAAUACCAGUGCCUCCAAAAUACUUGGAUUUUUUCCCAAAAGAAGCACAUCCUGGAAUUCUGGCACUGGUUUAAUGAAACUCACAGUUUUGAAACUAAGGA